AACGAACGCUGGCGGCAGGCUUAACACAUGCAAGUCGAACGCACCUUUCGGGGUGAGUGGCAGACGGGUGAGUAACGCGUGGGAAUCUACCCUUCUCUACGGGAUAGCUCCGGGAAACUGGAAUUAAUACCGUAUACGUCCUGAGGGAGAAAGAUUUAUCGGGGAAGGAUGAGCCCGCGUUGGAUUAGCUAGUUGGUGGGGUAAAGGCCUACCAAGGCGACGAUCCAUAGCUGGUCUAAGAGGAUGAUCAGCCACAUUGGGACUGAGACACGGCCCAAACUCCUACGGGAGGCAGCAGUGGGGAAUAUUGGACAAUGGGCGCAAGCCUGAUCCAGCCAUGCCGCGUGAGUGAUGAAGGCCCUAGGGUUGUAAAGCUCUUUCAGUGGGGACGAUAAUGACGGUACCCACAGAGGAAGCCCCGGCUAACUUCGUG
rnacentral:rRNA from 1 species